ensembl:lncRNA
UGUGCCUGUGUUUCUAAACUAUGUAUAUAUGUAUCUGUGUGUGUGAGUGUAUCUGUGUCUGUCUGUGUUUGUGUCUGUAUGUCUGUGUAUCUAAUCAAUGUGUGUAUGUAUCUCUCUGUGUGUCUGUGCGCACACACACAUAUUUAUUGUUUUCCAAGACAGUCUUACUGUGUCAUUCAGGCUGACCUUGAACUUCUGAUCCUCCUGCCUCUACCUCCCAAGUGCUGGGAUUGCAGGCCUGUACGGAAGUCAGUUUUUGAAAUACUGGGGGUCAAGUCCAGGGCCUUGUAUACACUAGGCAAGGACUCUACCAUGAGCCAGCACCCCAGCCCCAAGCACCAUUUUCAUUUUUCUCAAGUAUCAUUUUCAUCAGUCUUACUUAACAAAAGCACUUAAUACUUUUUAAUCUUUUUGAGUGUGUGUGUGUGUGUGUGUGUGUGUGUGUGUGUGUGUGUGUGACAGCUCCAGUGUGGCGGUCAGGGAACAACUUCAGGAAUCACCUCUCUCUCUUCCACCCUGUGGAAGGAACCCAGGUGGCCUCACUUGGCCAUCAGCACUGAUACCUGCAGAGCCAUCUUGCUGCCUUAUGAAAUACAGUGUGUUAGCAGCUUUGAGCAUAUCCCAGCACUGUAGUGCACCGUCCGGUCAUUAAAACACUUUUAUCGUCUGCACAUCAGAAACUGCACAUCUGCUGAGCAGCCAGUCCCCAUGCAGGUCUCUAGCCCAGCCUCUGGCAGCCAUGGAGUACCGGAAGUUUACUCACCCAGAGCACGGAUCUCAUGUAUCCCUUCCAUAGUGAAUGACAGAUACUGUUGCAAGGAGACCUGGCACUUUCCCAUGCAUCCAUGGACGGCAAAUUAUAUAUGUUCCGCCCAUGUUUUAGCUGCUAGGAACAUCCAUGUACAAUUUUUUGCAUGUGUGAAUAAGUGAUUUCUAUCCUUUUGAGUUUUCUCAUUAAUUUAAGAAAUAUAUCACACAGACAAGGAGUUCUGGGCUAGCCUGGGCUACAUACUAUAAAUUCAUUGUUUAAAAAAAACAAAAAUACCAAACCUGUUACUAAAGUAUCACAUUUUCCAUUAGGAACAGGCUCACCCUUCUCUCACUUCAUCCUGGCUGGGCCCAGGGAGCUUGGCCCUCAUCUUUCCUAUGUCCUUUUCUUGCUGAAGAGAGCUGCCCCUAAACUUGGCUGUUUCCAGAACCUUCAGGGUUCUUUGGAGCCAGGGUUAAGUUUUGCAGUGGGGGAGGGAGAGGAGGAACUUCCAGGCCAGCAGCAAGCAAUGUCCCUAGUGAGCCAAGCGUGCGACAGUCCACCAUGCCCUCUACCUGCAAGCCCCUCUCCACGUGUGGUUCGUUCUCAGCACCAGCCACACGAGGCUACCAAGAACUUUGAGACCUCUUGUUGAAAUGGUGUUAUUUUUGAUAAAUGGUGUUAAGUUUUAAAAUAAAAAAAAAGAUGAAAUGUUAGCUCAGUGGUAAAGCAAGUCCCUGGCAGGCACAAACCCUGAAUUCUAUCCCCAGCACACACAUUUAAAAAAAAAUAACUAGGGCUGGAGAGAUGGCUCAGUGGUUGAGAGCACUGACUGCUCUUCCAGAGGUCCUGAGUUCAAUUCCCAGCAACCACAUGGUGGCUCACAACCAUCUGUAAUGGGAUCUGAUGCCCUCUUCUGGUGUGUCUGAAGACAGUGCCUGUGUACUUACAUAUAAUAAAUAAAUAAAUAAAUCUCUUUAAAAAAAAAUAACUAAGUUGGGGCUGGAGAGAUGGCUCAGUGGUUAAGAGCAGUGACUGCUCUUCCAGAGGUCCUGAGUUCAAUUCCCAGCAACCACAUGGUGGCUCACAACCAUCUGUAAUUCCUGUUCCAGUGGACUGACCACCCUCAUUCAGAUAUACGUGCAGGCAAAACACUAACUCACGUAAGAUGAAAAUAAAUGAACUAAAAAAAAUUAACUAAGUUAAAAAUUUAGGGGCUGGGGAUUUAGCUCAGUGGUAGAGCGCUUACCUAGGAAGCGCAAGGCCCUGGGUUCGGUCCCCAGCUCCGAAAAAAAGAACCAAAAAAAAAAAAAAAAACUAAAGUAGGGGUUGGGGAUUUAGCUCAGUGGUAGAGCGCUUACCUAGCAAGUGCAAGGCUCUGGGUUCGGUCCUCAGCUCCGAAAAAAGAAAAAAAAAAUUAAAGUAAUUUAC